rnacentral:rRNA from 1 species
AGCAGCCGCGGUAAUUCCAGCUCCAAUAGCGUAUAUUAAAGUUGUUGCAGUUAAAAAGCUCGUAGUUGAAUUUCGGGAUCAAAUUGUUGGUCGUGCUUCGGUACGCACUGGCAUUAUUGGUUCCUACCUUCUGAAGAACCGCGAUGUCAUUAAUUUGGUGUCGUGGGGAAUCAGGACAGUUACUUUGAAAAAUUAGAGUGUUUAAAGCAGGCUUACGCUUGAAUACAUUAGCAUGGAAUAAUGAAAUAGGACGUUUGAUUCUAUUUUGUUGGUUUCUAGGAUCGACGUAAUGAUUAAUAGGGAUAGUUGGGGGCAUUAGUAUUCAAUUGUCAGAGGUGAAAUUCUUGGAUUUAUUGAAGACUAACUACUGCGAAAGCAUUUGCCAAGGAUGUUUUCAUUAAUCAAGAACGAAAGUUAGGGGAUCGAAGACGAUCAGAUACCGUCGUAGUC